rnacentral:rRNA from 1 species
UACGUAGGGUGCAAGCGUUGUCCGGAAUUAUUGGGCGUAAAGAGCUUGUAGGCGGUUUGUCGCGUCUGCCGUGAAAGUCCGGGGCUCAACUCCGGAUCUGCGGUGGGUACGGGCAGACUAGAGUGAUGUAGGGGAGACUGGAAUUCCUGGUGUAGCGGUGAAAUGCGCAGAUAUCAGGAGGAACACCGAUGGCGAAGGCAGGUCUCUGGCAUUAACUGACGCUGAGGAGCGAAAGCAUGGGGAGCGAACAGG